rnacentral:rRNA from 1 species
AGUUUGAUCCUGGCUCAGGAUGAACGCUGGCGGCGUGCUUAACACAUGCAAGUCAAGGGGGCCUGAGGCGCAAGCCUUGGGCAACCGGCGAACGGGUGCGUAACACGUGAGCAACCUACCGAAAUGAGGGGGAUAGCCGGCCCAACGGCCGGGUAAUACCGCAUACGCUCGAGACCAGGCAUUUGGACUCGAGGAAAUUUACGGAGCAUUUCGAGGGGCUCGCGGCCUAUCAGCUAGUUGGUGAGGUAACGGCUCACCAAGGCGACGACGGGUAGCUGGUCUGAGAGGAUGGCCAGCCACAUUGGGACUGAGAUACGGCCCAGACUCCUACGGGAGGCAGCAGUGGGGAAUCUUGCGCAAUGGCCUAACGGCUGACGCAGCGACGCCGCGUGAGGGAUGACGCUCUUCGGAGUGUAAACCUCUUUUGUCUGAGACGAACUGUCAGCUUUAGCUGAUUUGACGGUAUCGGGCGAAUAAGCACCGGCUAACUCCGUGCCAGCAGCCGCGGUAAUACGGGGGGUGCGAGCGUUGUCCGGAAUCACUGGGCGUAAAGGGCGCGUAGGUGGUCUUAUAAGGGUGUGGUGAAAGCCCGGGGCUCAACCCCGGGUCGGCCGUGCCGACUGUGAGACUAGAGUGCUGUAGGGGCAGGCGGAAUUCCGGGUGUAGCGGUGGAAUGCGUAGAGAUCCGGAGGAAGACCGGUGGCGAAGGCGGCCUGCUGGGCAGAUACUGACACUGAGGCGCGA